rnacentral:rRNA from 1 species
GCAGUAGUAGCGACGACGGCCAGUGAGCAGCAACCUAAGGUGCCGGCGUUAAGCGCGGAUGGCCAGAUCUGUGCGCGGAGGGCAUGGCCGAUGCUGGGAGGGAGGUCUUGCCGCCGCCCUCCAAGCAGUCGGUAGGCGCAAUGGAUCCUAAAGCUCCUGAAUGGAUCAAAAGGGGUGAGGAUUGGGGUGGAAGCCCCUGUUAGGACACCUUCUCCCAGUCAAGCAUGAGCCGGUGGCGGUGACGCUGCAUAUGUUAUCCAGGAUCCUGCUCAGGGGUUGUACCAUUGGCGACGAGAUCCAGAAGAUGGCCACGGCGGCAGUGGUGGCGGCGGUUGCCCCGGGUGGUGAUGUAGAGGGGAGGAACCAGUAGCAGGU